rnacentral:misc_RNA from 1 species
CAGUUUGUUAAGCAGUUCCUGUUAUCAACCUUUCCUGCUGAUCAAAUUUUUUGACCUUUACAAUGCCAAAGAGAACUUGGAUGCCGAAGAAUGCACACAAGGCAUAUGCUGCAACAGCCGGUACUCGAAUGGAAUUGAGAUACAAAAUUGUUGCAAGGUUUAUAAGGCUUCCAGCAGCAACUGCCUGUUGAUUGGUCAGAGGGUUAUAUAACCAAAGAGUAAAUAACCAUGCCCAUCAAAACAUAUUCAAAAUUUUUCUUAAGGAAUAUAUGAAAAAGUAAUAAUAAUAAUAAUAAUUAAUCAUGACAAGUAGACAAGCAUAUCGCCUUUGCUUCAACUCUAACACGAGGGCAGGCAGGCACAUUACACAAAGGAACACAACCACAUGCGUAUCUGCUUGCCAAAUUAUAAUUUUUCACAAUGUAUGUAACUUCAAUAGAGUGAUUCCUUGUAUCUGGAAGCAGCAUAUAGUGAAACAUGCUGAAUUAGUGAUCUGGCAUGAUUUUAGACAUAAGAAUUCGUAAAAGCCAAGGUAAUUGAAGGUGAAUUCUCUUACUACUAAUUUACUAUUCAUACAAGUUUAAAAAAUGGAAGCAACUUAUGUGCUGUGUUCUCAAGCAUUGAACAAGCAAAUUUUCAACAGGAUAUAUGUGUAGUUCAAAAUAUACAUGGAGAAAAGGUUUCUCAUUGAGUUUCAAAAGUGGAGAAGACAAAUAAUUAAUUUUUUUUUUUUUCUAUAAGUUUCUAAAUAAAGAUACAACAAUAAUAUAUUUUACAAAUAUAAUUAUAAAUGUGAAAACUUAUAUGUAAUCAUGAGAAAAGCAAAUGAAAAAAUACAGUUACUGGAACCACAAAUGCCUUCCACACUUUUCUUCCUUCCAACUCACCAGUUGAAAACAUCUUGCCAUAUGCUUCAAACAAGAAAUCACCCAAUUGAGCAUAAACAAAGAGCUUGACAUGGUUUGGGCUCUUAGAACGUGGAGAAUUCGGCCUUUCAAUUAAAUUGUAUUGAAGUGCUCAAUGAAUUGAAAUUUCCCUACUGGAAUAUAUCAUUUUUAUGCGAAAUAGACAAUGGAAACCAUCUUCUACAUCUAAUGCAAAAUUUACGUAGUCUGAUUAAUCAACACUGGAACCAUAUUAUCUAGAAUUAAGACAAUAAGAGAUUUUAGCAGUUUGAUUACUAGAAAGCUGUUUAAAAUCUUACAAACAAAGCAAUUCAACACCACUUUUCCCCUGAGAAAUAUAUAAAUGCAAUGAUUAAUACAUUCAAUGGAACCUAAAAGAAAGAUGAAGAUAAAUUUGAUGAGGUGACACUUCCAUUCAUUUGUAAGCCAGAUAAAUACUUACACACCCAACUGUCUUCUGAACAGCAGCAACACGCUGGAAUGCCCUUUCAGACUCCAGAGUUCUAACUCGAAGCUUCAAAUCACCUUGCUCCAAUCGUUGGAUAGUUUCAGCAAGCUUUUCAACUCUGUCAGCCUGUCUAAAUAAGUUGUAGAAAGCUCGAGACUGCCUGUCCCAUCUCUUUCUGAGGUCCUGAAGUAUUUACUGAUUCAUAUCAUGCCUAGUGCAGAAGGCUAAAGUAGAAUUAAGAUGGCCCAAGUUUAUAUUCCAGAUCCCUUGCCAUAUACAAAAAAUAAAGGAAAAGUUCUACCUUCAGGAGAACUUCAACUCCAGCUUCGCGAAACCUCAGCAACUCGAGUGCAUAAGGUUUGGCAAUCUCUGUUAUAUCAAACCGGGGGUCAAGGCCCUUCCCAAUGCCAUCCAGCACUGAAAAUGCUCUGACAACAAAUGUGAAUGUGGCAGGAAAUCGAAAAGGUUGAUCUGCUGCAAUGGCUAAUAAAUCUUCCCCAAUUGCAGCCAGGCGUUCCUUCUUUUUCUCUAUUUUUUCCUCCUUGGUCAAUGGCUUUUUAAAUCCAAGUUCUGCUGUAGCCAUUUCUCUCUCUCGUCUUUGCGUAGCAAGACGCUCCUCAAAACUAUUAAGGAAGAAUUGGGCAGUUCGUCUAACAGCUGUCAUGUCUCCAAUAGGCACAAGGACACCCAUUUGGAUCAUUGAUUGAAGGACCUUAUCAGGAUCCUUCUCGUAAACUCCAUAAAAUGCUUCCAACAACCCUUCUCUAAUAUUUGGACUGAUACUUCCCAUCAUUCCAAAAUCAUAAAAGAUCAACCUCCCACCGUUGACAUCAUCAACAGCGAUAUUUCCUGGAUGAGGAUCAGCAUGGAAAAAACCAUGAGAUAGAAUUUGUUCCAAGUAAGAUUCAACAGCAUAUCGGCCCAACCUCUUACGAUCAACACCCAAUUGAUCUAAAGCUUUUAUUUUGUUUAUUUUGAUCCCUGGGACAUAUUCCAUUGUCAGAACCUGUGGCGUUGUGUAUUCCCACAAAAUAGUCGGGACUUUGACAUAAUCCAUAUCUUUGAAAUUACUCGCAAAAAGUUCAGCAUUAGCAGCUUCCUUGGUGUAAUCAAUCUCCUGAUACAAGACAGUUGCACAUUCAUCAUAAAUUGCUACCCAGUCCCUCUUUGCACCAUCUGACUUUGGGUCAAUCUUUUGAAGAUAUUCUGCUAUUACCCUCAGGUUUUUAAGAUCAAUAUCAAAAAGAUCCUUGAGACCAGGUCUUUGUACUUUAACCACAACUUCCUGUCCCUUCAAUCUUGCACGGUGAACCUGACCAAGACUUGCAGCAGCAAUUGGUUCAUAGUCAAACUGAUCAAAGAUGUCAUCCAAUGGGCCUCCAAGCUCUUCUUCAACUAUAGACACAGCUGUCUCUGAUGGGAAGGGAGGAACUUGAUCCUGAAGUUCAGACAACUGAUCAACAUAUUCCUGAGCAAGAAUAUCCACUCUAGUGGACAACUGCUGGCCAAUUUUGAUGAACGUAGGACCUAAUCUCAAUAUGUUUUCCUUUAACCACUUGGCAAGGGCUUUCCGUCUCAGAACUUUUUUCUCCUCUGUCAUUCCUCCUCGAUAAGAGAAUUUCUGGUUGUUCAGCCAAGCUCUGAUUAUGAAUGUAAAAACAAAUCCCCAUAUUUCCAACGUCCUUUGAAUUGUUGAGUAGGAUUUAAAUCUACUCCAGCGGCCCCCGGGUGCAACAGAAACCUCAAUCUGUUGCUGAUCAUUUGCACGUUUAAACCAGGCAUCUUCUUUCCCAAUCUCUUCUAUUCUUUUCUUCCGUUCAUCUUCUGACAAUUCAGCCUCUUCCUCCACCACCAUUUCCGCCGCUGCAACACCGCUGCCAUUCACGUACUUUACCAAACUUCCAUUGCUUACUCCCUUAUCACUUUCCACCACACUAACGCCACCAUUACUAUAACUCCCUAUUGACGAUCCAUUUAAACCAUAGUUAUCGGAAGUACUAGUAGAAGCAGCCCCAUUUCCAUUCACUUCCUUCAACAAUUCACGCUCCCUCUCUUCAAUCACCACACUGUCUUCUCUAACAGACCGAACUCGAGUGCGGAGGAGGAAAGCGCUCUUACGCUGGUUAAAAGAAAGAGGAAAUCUAGAGAAAGAAAGGCUGUGUUUAGGAGUGGUUUGUGGACAGAGGAAAGUGAGGUCUGGUAGAGGCAAUAACGAAGCCAUCAAUGGAGAUUUUUACUCUUGAAACCUAAAAACCAGAAGAAGCUGAUCAAAUCCAAAUCCUAAUUCUCAUGAUUUCUCGGAGAGAGAGAGAGAGAGAGAGA